rnacentral:rRNA from 1 species
AUUGAACGCUGGCGGUAGGCUUUAACACAUGCAAGUCGUGCGAGAAAGUAUCUUCGGAUAUGAGUAGAGCGGCGGACCGGGUGAGUAACGCGUGGGAACGUGCCCUUCUCUACGGAAUAGCCUCUGGAAACGGAGAGUAAUACCGUAUACGCCCUUUUGGGGGAAAGAUUUAUCGGAGAAGGAUCGGCCCGCGUUAGAUUAGGUAGUUGGUGGGGUAAAGGCCUACCAAGGCGACGAUCCAUAGCUGGUCUGAGAGGACGAUCAGCCACACUGGGACUGAGACACGGCCCAGACUCCUACGGGAGGCAGCAGUCGGGAAUAUUGGACAAUGGGCGCAAGCCUGAUCCAGCCAUGCCGCGUGUGUGAAGAAGGCCUUAGGGUUGUAAAGCUCUUUCGUCGGGGAAGAAAAUGACUGUACCCGAAUAAGAAGGUCCGGCUAACUUCGUG